rnacentral:rRNA from 1 species
UACGUAGGGCGCAAGCGUUGUCCGGAAUUAUUGGGCGUAAAGAGCUCGUAGGCGGUUUGUCGCGUCUGCUGUGAAAACCUAAGGCUCAACCUUGGGCUUGCAGUGGGUACGGGCAGACUAGAGUGCGGUAGGGGUGACUGGAAUUCCUGGUGUAGCUGUGGAAUGCGCAGAUAUCAGGAGGAACACCGGUGGCGAAGGCGGGUCUCUGGGCCGAUACUGACGCUGAGGAGCGAAAGCGUGGGGAGCGAACAGG